rnacentral:lncRNA from 1 species
AUUUUUUACCUCAGAGGUGAACUGAAAUGAUAAGAAACAUUAAAGCUGCUAAUGUGCUUAGCUAUUUUCUUGCUGAACACCAUCAGGAAACGAAUAGUAAUAAAAUAAAACUAAAAAACCAUUCACACUGCCGGAAGUCCCUCACCUACUUUGUUCCGGAAAAUACAAAAUGAUACUGUGCAACGCUUUCCAUUCUGCUUUAUGUCUGUGUUGACAAGCCGUUCACCCAGCCCAGUGUGCUGCUCCAGCAGUGGUCAUAAGCAGCCACCUCGAGAGAAAAGCACGUCCCAGGUACGUACCCUGUUGCCGCAAGAGCCCAUGGAGAUUUGUCUCCGUAAUAUCCCUUGUUUUGGACUCGGCUCCCACCAGUUCUUUGCAAUGGCUCCUCGUUCUUGCUUGGGAAGAGAGAAGGUACAGCCCACCUCAAGUCACCUUCUCCUUGCCACACGUGAUUUCGUGGACCUCUGCCUUUUUCUCCUCCAACCUUUGGUUUUCCAGGCUGGAGACAUCAAGCCUACUCAGUUAUUCACAGUAUCACUUUGCAGUUUGCAUAAGUUACCCCACAAAAUGCACAGCAAUGCUGUAUGCAUACCUACUUUUUUUUGAAGUGGGAACAAUUAUACUUUCCUACCUUUUUUAAGCACUUUGAUUUGUAGGAAAGAAUACUGAUCUGCUCCAUUUUUACUUUCGAAUGCAAAAUUAUUAUUAUUAAUGCUAAAAUUAAAAUACUUGGGCUUCAUUUAUUUCUUUCGCUUUGACUCAUCUGAUUAGUAUACUAAUAAGAAAACGUUCAAUAGACAUUCUUAUAUUAGAUGUGAAAUAUUA